rnacentral:tRNA from 1 species
GGAGAGGUGUCCGAGAGGUCGAAGGAGCUCGACUCGAAAUCGAGUAGGCGUUAACAGCGUCUCGUGGGUUCGAAUCCCACCCUCUCCGCCA